rnacentral:rRNA from 1 species
GUACCCGCUGAACUUAAGCAUAUCAAUAAGCGGAGGAAAAGAAACCAACAGGGAUUGCCUUAGUAACGGCGAGUGAAGCGGCAACAGCUCAAAUUUGAAAUCUGGCUCUUUCAGGGUCCGAGUUGUAAUUUGUAGAGGAUGCUUCGGCGUUGGCUCCGGUCUAAGUUCCUUGGAACAGGACGUCAUAGAGGGUGAGAAUCCCGUAUGUGAUCGGUUGCCUUUGCCAUGUGAAGCUCCUUCGACGAGUCGAGUUGUUUGGGAAUGCAGCUCUAAAUGGGAGGUAAAUUUCUUCUAAAGCUAAAUACUGGCCAGAGACCGAUAGCGCACAAGUAGAGUGAUCGAAAGAUGAAAAGCACUUUGGAAAGAGAGUCAAAAAGUACGUGAAAUUGUUGAAAGGGAAGCGCUUGCAACCAGACCUGCCUGCAGUUGCUCAUCCAGGCUUUUGCCUGGUGCACUCUUCUGCUGUCAGGCCAGCAUCAGUUCGGGCGGUCGGAUAAAGGCUUCGGGAAUGUGGCUCCUUUCGGGGAGUGUUAUAGCCCGUUGUGAAAUGCGACCAGCCUGGACUGAGGUCCGCGCUUCGGCUAGGAUGCUGGCGUAAUGGUUGUAAGCGGCCCGUCUUGAAACACGGACCAAGGAGUCUAACAUCUAUGCGAGUGUUUGGGUGUCAAACCCGUGCGCGUAAUGAAAGUGAACGGAGGCGGGAACCUUCGGGUGCACCGUCGACCGAUCCUGAUGUCUUCGGAUGGAUUUGAGUAAGAGCAUAGCUGUUGGGACCCGAAAGAUGGUGAACUAUGCCUGAAUAGGGUGAAGCCAGAGGAAACUCUGGUGGAGGCUCGCAGCGGUUCUGACGUGCAAAUCGAUCGUCAAAUUUGGGCAUAGGGGCGAAAGACUAAUCGAACUAUCUAGUAGCUGGUUCCUGCCGAAGUGGCCCUCAGGAUAGCAGUAACGUUUUCAGUUUUAUGAGGUAAAGCGAAUGAUUAGAGGCCUGGGGGUUGAAACAACCUUCACCUAUUCUCAAACUUUAAAUAUGUAAGAAGUCCUUGUUACUUAGUUGAACGUGGACAUUUGAAUGUAUCGUUACUAGUGGGCCAUUUUUGGUAAGCAGAACUGGCG